CUAUGACCUAGUUAUCCCCAUAACCAUUUCAUUUUAAGGACCUAAUAAUUUUAGAGGAUUUCAUAAUUAGGAUAGAUAAGAAGAUCCGGUUAGUCUAAUUUCUUCCACUGACUUCACCAAAUCAGAUUAGACUCAAACCGGUUAAGGAGGCACCUAAAUCAGUCAAACUGAUUUUCCUUAUAGGCAUGGGCUAACUCGAGUCAUUAAGUGAUCCAAUCAAAAUGUGAUUGACCAUGUCGGCCAGGUAAGUGAGAUCGGUG
rnacentral:lncRNA from 1 species